UACGUAGGGACCGAGCGUUGUCCGGAAUCAUUGGGCGUAAAGAGCGUGUAGGCGGCUAUUUAAGUCCUGCGUGAAAUCCUGCGGCUCAACCGCAGACGGUCGUGGGAAACUGGAUGGCUAGAGUGCGGGAGAGGAGAGUGGAAUUCCCGGUGUAGCGGUGAAAUGCGCAGAUAUCGGGAAGAACACCCGUGGCGAAGGCGGCCAUCUGGACCGCAACUGACGCUGAGGCGCGAAAGCGUGGGGAGCAAACAGGG
rnacentral:rRNA from 1 species